CCCAAAAUAAACCAAAAAAAAAAACCUUAAUUUUUCAUUUGUUUUCAUUUCGGCUGACAAUAUAACAAAUUCGUGAAAGUUUACCGAAAACAAACAACAAUACUUUUAAUUAAACUGCGUAAACCGAAAUUGUAUCUUUUCGAAAGUGAUUCCGCCCAUGCCCAACCACCGCCGCCGAUGCCAAGCAUAAACAAUCGAAUUGAAAUUUCAAACGAAAAUCUGUUGCCACACCCAAAUGCUGAUGAUGAAAAAUGUGCGAAAACUUUUCAGAUUGAAAAUAAAACAAUUGGCAUGGAAAAUGCGCGCAAAGGACAAUAAAAGCAAAAUGAACGGAAGGAAAAUAGAAAAGAAACUGCACGCGAACCCAAAGCGAACGCAACAAUUCAACCGAUUGGAAACUAAACGAAAUGAGAGGACGAGAGACGAACGGACGAGUUUGACAUGUUGUGUCGAGUGUUUGUACGAGUACGAGUAUGUAGGCAUGUACUCGUAUAUAAGAACGUGACCGGGCCGUGUUGAGUGGCGUGUGCCGUGGCUUGGUAUGGCGAGUUAAAAAGAAAUUGGAAAAUAUAUAUGAAAUUCAAUUGAUUCGAACCGUUUUUCCCUA